GAUGGUAGGGAAAAAUUACGUCCCAGUGCGCAAGCGCCGAGGGUUACACAACGCGUUGCUGAUCUAUCCAGGACGGCUUCAGGAUGGACUAUAAGAAGGAGGUUCAGUCCCGAUUGGGUCCGGCGCAACCUCAGGGAGUACAUAUAUAGCGGCCUUGGUUUACGACGACGCACAAUGGCACAAAGAAGAACUAAGAGCAGCGCUCUGGAGACUGAACAACCUCCUGAUGCGGAAAAUGAAU